rnacentral:rRNA from 1 species
UACGAAGGGGCUAGCGUUGCUCGGAAUCACUGGGCGUAAAGGGUGCGUAGGCGGGUCUUUAAGUCAGGGGUGAAAUCCUGGAGCUCAACUCCAGAACUGCCUUUGAUACUGAGGAUCUUGAGUUCGGGAGAGGUGAGUGGAACUGCGAGUGUAGAGGUGAAAUUCGUAGAUAUUCGCAAGAACACCAGUGGCGAAGGCGGCUCACUGGCCCGAUAACUGACGCUGACGGCA